rnacentral:rRNA from 1 species
UACGUAGGGGGCUAGCGUUGUCCGGAAUCAUUGGGCGUAAAGAGCGCGUAGGCGGCCAGAUAAGUCCGGUGUGAAAGUCACAGGCUCAACCUGUGAAUGCCGCUGGAAACUGUCUGGCUAGAGUCCGGGAGGGGCGAGUGGAAUUCCUGGUGUAGCGGUGAAAUGCGCAGAUAUCAGGAGGAACACCGAUGGCGAAGGCAGGUCUCUGGGACGUGACUGACGCUGAGACGCGAAAAGCGUGGGGGGAGCAAAACGGGGAUUAGAAA